GAGGAAGGUGGGGAUGACGUCAAAUCAUCAUGCCCUUUAUGACUUGGGCUACACACGUACUACAAUGGCGUUAAACAAAGAGAAGCAAGACCGCGAGGUGGAGCAAAACUCAGAAACAACGUCCCAGUUCGGACUGCAGGCUGCAACUCGCCUGCACGAAGUCGGAAUUGCUAGUAAUCGUGGAUCAGCAUGCCACGGUGAAUACGUUCCCGGGCCUUGUACACACCGCCCGUCACACCAUGAGAGCCUGGGGGACCCGAAGUCGGUAGUCUAACCGCAAGGAGGACACCGCCGAAGGUAAAACUGGUGAUUGGGGUGAAGUCGUAACAAGGUA
rnacentral:rRNA from 1 species